rnacentral:rRNA from 1 species
AUACGGAGGAUCCGAGCGUUAUCCGGAUUUAUUGGGUUUAAAGGGUGCGCAGGCGGCCAUUUAAGUCAGCGGUUAAAUCGUGGGGCUCAACCCCAUUCUGCCGUUGAUACUGGGUGGCUUGAUUGCGGUCGAGGUUGGCGGAAUUCGUUGUGUAGCGGUGAAAUGCAUAGAUAUGACGAAGAACACCGAUUGCGUAGGCAGCUGACCAGACCGCAAAUGACGCUCAUGCACGAAAGUGCGGGGAUUGAACAGGAUUAGAUACCCUGGUAGUCCGCACAGUAAACGAUGAAUACUUGUUUUCGGCGAUAUAAUGUCGGAGGCAAAGCGAAAGCGAUAAGUAUUCCACCUGGGGAGUACGCCGGCAACGGUGAAACUCAAAUGAAUUGACGGGG